GGGGGUAUAGCUCAGCUGGGAGAGCGCUUGGCUCGCAUUCAAGAGGUCAGCGGUUCGAUCCCGCUUAUCUCCACCA
rnacentral:tRNA from 2 species